rnacentral:rRNA from 1 species
UUUUCCUACGGGGGGCAGCAGUGGGGAAUAUUGCACAAUGGGGGAAACCCUGAUGCAGCAACGCCGCGUGAGUGAAGAAGUAUUUCGGUAUGUAAAGCUCUAUCAGCAGGGAAGAAGAUGACGGUACCUGAUUAAGAAGCCCCGGCUAACUACGUGCCAGCAGCCGCGGUAAUACGUAGGGGGCAAGUGUUAUCCGGAAUUACUGGGUGUAAAGGGAGCGUAGACGGUUAAGCAAGUCUGGAGUGAAAGGCGGGGGCCCAACCCCCGGACUGCUCUGGAAACUGUGUAACUAGAGUGCAGGAGAG